GACAUACUCCCUCCGUUUCUAAUUAUUUGUCGCAGGUAUGGAUGUAUCUAUAUGUAUUUUAGUUCUGGAUACAUCCAUUUCUAUGACGAGUAAUUUGGAACGGAGCGAGUACAAU
rnacentral:pre_miRNA from 1 species